GAACAUAGCUCAGUGGUAGAGCUCUUGCCUAGAAUUUGCAAAGCCCUGGGUUUAACCCCCAGUACUACA
rnacentral:tRNA from 1 species